GCCGACCUGGUCCAAUGGUAAGAUCCUCAGGCGACGGUCUUAUUACCAGUCCUGAGGGAUGCUGGUUCGAAUCCAGCGGUUGGAC